rnacentral:rRNA from 1 species
GAUGAACGCUGGCGGCGUGCCUAAUACAUGCAAGUCGAGCGAACAGAUCAGGAGCUUGCUCCUCUGACGUUAGCGGCGGACGGGUGAGUAACACGUGUAUAACCUACCUAUAAGACUGGGAUAACUUCGGGAAACCGGAGCUAAUACCGGAUAAUAUAUUGAACCGCAUGGUUCAAUAGUGAAAGACGGUUUUGCUGUCACUUAUAGAUGGUUCCGCGCCGCAUUAGCUAGUUGGUAAGGUAACGGCUUACCAAGGCAACGAUGCGUAGCCGACCUGAGAGAGUGAUCGGCCACACUGGAACUGAGACACGGACCAGACUCCUACGGGAGGCAGCAGUAGGGAAUCGUCCGCAAUGGGCGGAAGCCUGGCGGAGCAGCGCCGCGUGAGUGAUGAAGGUCUUCGGAUCGUAAAACUCUGUUAUUGGGGGAGAACAGAUGUGUAAGUAAAUGUGCACGUCUUGACGGUAACUGGUCAGAAAGCCACGGCUAACUACGUG